GGGCCAGUAGCUCAAUUGGUAGAGCGCCUCAUUUGCACUGAGGAGGCAGCGGGUUCGAAUCCUGUCUGGUCCACCA
rnacentral:tRNA from 1 species